CACCCCGCACACUGUCAAACCCUAGAAGCUCGAGACCGACUAGGACAUCAGUGAUGAGACGGAUUGCAUUGGAGAACGGCUACACAAAGAUCAUGCUGCCAACACUGGUUCUGGAAUAGCAUGCCCUGUGCUAUCUGCAACCGUGAAGGGGCAAGGCUACGCUUUACCAGCCAAUGUCCAGUAUGUCGAUGUACAAUGGGAGGUACCUGUGGUUCUUCCACUUCAUGGUUGUCUAGCCCAUGAGCUUACUUGCUCGGUGAACUUGACAGGUAAGAUAAAUGCUCACCUAUUAGCCUAGGUGCAGUGGUUUUCAUUAAAAUGGUUUCUCUGGUCAGUUCGAAGACACAUCAACUUCUCGAUAGGCCUUGUAGUGGCAUCAAUGGCUUAGUUGCAUUCUUUGUUUCACGACUAAGGGUAGGGUCGCUUGUUCUUUGCAUGUCACUUUCUUGGCUACUUAAAAUUCUAGCUAUUUUGUAUUUGAGCCAAAACUAUGUUCUUUGUUUGAUGGCUACAUUUAUGAAUAUCUUGUGGAGCAGCACAAGACAUAGUUUUGAAUGAUUUCUCAUUUCUAUUUACAGGAAGAGAACUCAUCUCAAAAUCAUACCCUUUUAAGAAUUGCUUGGAAGCUUAAGCCAUUCUCUUUUAACAAGUUAUCAGCAAACGACUACCAUGAUAAAGGAGUUAUUCGGACUAUGGAGUCAAGUACUGAUGUUGUAUCUGGAUCCUUCUUGUAUGUAUAUGUUGGGGUCUCCUUCUCCCGAAGGUCCUCAAAA